GACGAACGCUGGCGGCGUGCUUAACACAUGCAAGUCGAACGGAAAGCCCCUGCUUUUGUGGGGUGCUCGAGUGGCGAACGGGUGAGUAACACGUGAGUAACCUGCCCUUGACUUUGGGAUAACUUCAGGAAACUGGGGCUAAUACCGGAUAGGAGCUCCUGCUGCAUGGUGGGGGUUGGAAAGUUUCGGCGGUUGGGGAUGGACUCGCGGCUUAUCAGCUUGUUGGUGGGGUAGUGGCUUACCAAGGCUUUGACGGGUAGCCGGCCUGAGAGGGUGACCGGCCACAUUGGGACUGAGAUACGGCCCAGACUCCUACGGGAGGCAGCAGUGGGGAAUAUUGCACAAUGGGCGGAAGCCUGAUGCAGCAACGCCGCGUGCGGGAUGACGGCCUUCGGGUUGUAAACCGCUUUCGCCUGUGACGAAGCGUGAGUGACGGUAAUGUGUAAAGAAGCACCGGCUAACUACGUG
rnacentral:rRNA from 1 species